ACCGAAAACAUGUCUACCAAAUUCGCAAUAAGAAUAUAGUCAUUAAGAGCAUUUCCAUUAAGAUGAAGAUUUAAGAAAAAUCCAGACUGGUCUCUUAAUGUUUAACAGAGCUGUAUGCCCAAAAAGUUCUAAUUUUCUCUAUACAUUGGUGUAGGAACCGAAAACCGAAUAAAAGGGGGUGGAUAUAUCACUCUAUCUAUAAAUCAAGGAAAGACUGUCCUUGAUUGGCCCUUCAGUAUAUACCUGGCCAGAGACUGACAGUAAUUUUUCUCAUUUGUCAUUGCAAUUUUUCUUUCUUUUUUUGAUUUGUGUGUUGUAUUUGUGCUGCGAUCACUGCCGAAAAUCCAACAAAGCAGACAAUGUUUCUCCUCCUGUUGCUCAAGGCUCAGGCAGAUAGUGGUCAAUCCACAGUUCCCUUGAUGUCUAGCCACGUAAAUUUUUAAGAAGACGAAAAAACUUCCUAUGCAGUUGACGUGAAAGUACUGCACAUUCAUCUCACAAAUGAUGGACCAAUCAUUCCCACUACACAGACAAGAAAUUGUAAAAAAGGAGCCUGCUGUACACAGCAUGGUUGAACGAUGGCCAGCACUCUUCACAGAGAGACAGGAGUUUAAUAGAAUCGCCAGUAAGAAUCUUGAGGGAGACUUCUUUGAGGCUCUGGACCAGCACACCCCUCGGUUCAUCGAAAUUUUCAGAACAAAAUGGGAACUGUUGGCCGGAAACUCAGUGAGCUGAUGCAGCACAUGAGCUGGAUGACAUCAGACGUGACAGUACUUCGCUCUGUUGUCCUCAAAGGCAUUCCGAUUUUACUUGGUGACGACUCCAGUGAAUUCUUCAUGACAUGCUCUGAUACAGCAAGAGACGAGGCCCUAGAAUGCAUCACUGUUGGUGUGCUGACAGUUGUCAGUGAAGAUAGUCCUCACAAGGGUCCAAGUUCAGUGGACCUCCAGCCCAGCUCCACUGCCAUCAUUCUGGAGGGAGGUAUCGUCAUGGAUCGUAUUAAAAACUUGCCUCAGGCAGUUUGUCUGUCAUUUGGGCUUACAUUUGCUUGCAUUUGGAUUACCCAAAAUGCAUGGCAAAUACACUCAACUUCAUUCAGACUGUGAUGCUUGGACUGGGAAAGAAAAACCUCCCACCAAAUAUGUUAACUCUGAAGAACAGUCACCUGGAUUAGACUAGUAAAGAACCAUCAGCUGUCAGCAAUUUGCAAGUUAUAAUAAUGUUCUCAUGUUAUCAGAUAAAGUUUGAUGCUUUUAAUGCAACUGAGCUGGCUUGUUUACGAUCUCAAUUAAAAAAAAAAAUCCAUUCAAGUCUGUACCAUGUUAUGCUGGUAUGCUAAUAGUGGAAAUAGUGCCAAGUUGUGUUACAAAUAGUUGUUGUUAGAUAAUGUUGUCAACAGUGAACCUAGCAAGGUUGACCUGUUUAAAUUUGUGUUUUGGGAAAAGUUUUAAUACUUGUUAUGUAGUAAAAUACAAACCCCAAGGAGUGAUGUUUUUAACCUUGUUUAAAACUUGGACUGAUGCCCGCUUUGGGACACAAAAGCAUUUGUUGUACUUUCAGUUUUGAUCAGAAAUGCGUUAAUUUUCAUGCACUGAAGUCCUGUAGUUAUCAGGUGUUUACAUGUUUAAUAUUGUGAGACUGUUACAUGCAUAGAAUUAGUUCACAAAAAUGUGGGUUUAUUUUUGACUCGUCCAUGUCAUGGUACACAGUCCAAUCAAACCACAAGUUUGUUGUUUAGCUGCUGUUUUGUAUUUGAAUGUACAAGAAAGUGAUACUUGGGAACAGAACACUUGAGGCUGAAUAAUAGAUGUAAUGCAUAUUGUUAUUACAAUAGCUUAACAUAGAUCACACUAUGAGCAAUUUUACAAUUAGCUUUAAAAUACAUUGAAUAUGACAAGAGGAUGGAGAACAGUAAUUUUAUUGAUUACUGUAAGGUUAUAACAUGAGUAAUAAAACUUGUAUAUUGGAGAAUUGGAAUAAAAAGUAAUAACAGUAUCAAAUGUUUAUUGUUCAGCCUAGAUCUGUAAAUCAGUGAUUCUCAAAUGGGGGUACGCGUACCCCUGGGGGUACUUGAAGGUACUCCAGGGGGUACUUGAGAUUUUUUUUUUAUAUAUUUAAAAUUAGCAUCCAUUCAAAAAUCCUUGAAAAAUUGUUAUUUAACAAAUAUUCAAUAAAAUAUAAGCGUAAGUUCAUGAACUGAAUUUUAUAUUUAGUAGGCUUUUAAUUGAAUUAUCCUAAAAAAAAACAGAGUCUCCCCCAUACCGAUGGUUUGACCCAACCUGGCACACGCCACCUGUCAUCACCUGUCAUAUGCCUUGAAAACUUCAACAAUGGAGUUGAGUUGAAGUGCAGCAGCAAUGCUGCUGAAACACGGAGGGACAAGUACCAAAGAAGGCGAAACCAGAGUAGAGAGCCUUCCCUAAACAACACUGUGAGAGCUUGUGCCUCUUCGGAGGGGCGCUAAAAUGGACAAGUUUUCCGUUGUGAAGUUAAUGAUUCAUAACAAGAAGUCCGCGUCUCUACCGGUACCCUUUCAAAAUAAAAGCAUGUAAUACAAAAGCGGAAAUGAAAUUGUAUGACCUUAAAGCGAGCAAAUAUGUCACAAUAAAAUAACAGAAAGACACUUCAAUAAUAUUAACAAUAACAUUGAUUGGGUUAUUUACACUUAAUGUUUUUUCUGUGGGGAGAGAUUAGCCAACAGUGGCAUUAAGCCACCACAUCUUCAGCGGUAUCUCCAGACAAAACAUGAAAGUCAUGUUGGUAAGCCACCUGAGUUUUUUAAGAGGAAACUCUCUGAAUUCAGGUCAUCUCAAGACACGAUGCGAAAAGCCUCCCCAAAGCAAACUGAAACAAGCUACCUGUCAGUAUUCUUUUCGAUCCUUAAAAAGAUAUUUUAAGAUGAUGAAUAUUAAAAAAAUAUGUUUUGAGCUAAUCUUUUAUUUAAAACUAAGUUAAUGAUCCCAAAAGAGGUCACUUUAAGUUGAUAAUUAUUUUGAGGUGCACAAAUCUUUAUUUAUAUUGAGAUAAUAAUAAAAGUCUUUAGUUAUUUUAUAUCUUUUUAUUUCGAAAUAGUUCAAGAGAGACCACUACAAAUGAGCAAUGUUAUGCACAUUGAUGGAGUUUUAAAUUUGAAUGUGUCUAGUUACAAGACUUAAUAAAUCACAUUACAUCUUUCUUUGCGCUGGUUAGGGGGUACUCUGCAGAAUUUUUUCUUCGAAGGGGGUACGUCACUGAAAAAAGGUUGAGAACCACUG